rnacentral:rRNA from 1 species
CCUACGGGUGGCUGCAGUGGGGAAUAUUGCACAAUGGGGGCAACCCUGAUGCAGCGACGCCGCGUGAAUGAUGAAGGCUUUCGGUAUGUAAAGCUCUAUCAGCAGGGAAGAUAAUGACGAUACCUGACUAAGAAGCACCGGCUAAAUCCGUGCCAGCAGCCGCGGUAAUACGUAUGGAGCAAGCGUUAUCCGGAUUUACUGGGUGUAAAGGGAGCGCAGACGGCAGGGCAAGUCAGAUGUGAAAGUCCGGGGCUCAACCCCGGGAUUGCAUUUGAUACUGUUCGGCUAGAGUGUAGUAGAGGUAAGUGGAAUUCCUAGUGUAGCGGUGAAAUGCGUAGAGAUUAGGAGGAACACCAGUGGCGAAGGCGGCUUACUGGACUGUAACUGACGUUGAGGCUCGAAAGCGUGGGGAGCAAACAGGAUUAGAUACCCCAGUAGUC